rnacentral:rRNA from 1 species
GUAGGGUGCGAGCGUUAAUCGGAAUUACUGGGCGUAAAGCGUGCGCAGGCGGUGAUGUAAGACAGUUGUGAAAUCCCCGGGCUCAACCUGGGAAUUGCAUCUGUGACUGCAUCGCUAGAGUACGGUAGAGGGGGAUGGAAUUCCGCGUGUAGCAGUGAAAUGCGUAGAUAUGCGGAGGAACACCGAUGGCGAAGGCAAUCCCCUGGACCUGUACUGACGCUCAUGCACGAAAGCGUGGGGAGCAAACAGGAUUAGAUACCCUGGUAGUCCACGCCCUAAACGAUGUCAACUGGUUGUUGGGUGCAUUAGUACUCAGUAACGAAGCUAACGCGUGAAGUUGACCGCCUGGGGAGUACGGCCGCAAGGUUG